CUUGACAUCCAGCGAACUUUCCAGAGAUGGAUUGGUGCCUUCGGGGAACGCUGAGACAGGUGCUGCAUGGCUGUCGUCAGCUCGUGUUGUGAAAUGUUGGGUUAAGUCCCGNAACGAGCGCAACCCUUAUCCUUUGUUGCCAGCGAUUCGGUCGGGAACUCAAAGGAGACUGCCGGUGAUAAACCGGAGGAAGGUGGGGAUGACGUCAAGUCAUCAUGGCCCUUACGAGUAGGGCUACACACGUGCUACAAUGGCGCAUACAAAGAGAAGCGACCUCGCGAGAGCAAGCGGACCUCAUAAAGUGCGUCGUAGUCCGGAUCGGAGUCUGCAACUCGACUCCGUGAAGUCGGAAUCGCUAGUAAUCGUGGAUCAGAAUGCCACGGUGAAUACGUUCCCGGGCCUUGUACACACCGCCCGUCACACCAUGGGAGUGGGUUGCAAAAGAAGUAGGUAGCUUAACCUUCGGGAGGGCGCUUACCACUUUGUGAUUCAUGACUGGGGUGAAGUCGUAACAAGGUAGGCGUAGCGAG
rnacentral:rRNA from 1 species